AUCGCUUCUUGGCCUUUUGGCUAAGAUCAAGUGUAGUAUCUGUUAUUAUCAGUUUAAUAUCUGGUAUGUCCUCUAGCCGAGGACAAUAUAUUAUAUGGAUUUUUGGAGCAGAGCUGGAGGAACCGUUUAUGUAUUUCUCUACCAUGAAAAGUAUAAGGUGGUUGAGCUCUU
rnacentral:snRNA from 1 species